rnacentral:rRNA from 1 species
CAGCAGCCACGGGAAUACGGAGGGAGCUAGCGUUGUUCGGAAUUACUGGGCGUAAAGCGCACGUAGGCGGCUUUGUAAGUUAGAGGUGAAAGCCUGGAGCUCAACUCCAGAAUUGCCUUUAAGACUGCAUCGCUUGAAUCCAGGAGAGGUGAGUGGAAUUCCGAGUGUAGAGGUGAAAUUCGUAGAUAUUCGGAAGAACACCAGUGGCGAAGGCGGCUCACUGGACUGGUAUUGACGCUGAGGUGCGAAAGCGUGGGGAGCAAACAGGAUUAGAGACCCGAGUAGUCCCUGUCUCUUAUAC